rnacentral:rRNA from 1 species
GCUUCGGGUUGUAAACCGCUGUCGUAGAGGAGGAAAUGAGGGGGGUCUCCCUUCUGUUUGACCUAUUCUAGGAGGAAGGACGGGCUAAGUUCGUGCCAGCAGCCGCGGUAAGACGAACCGUCCAAACGUUACUCGGAAUUACUGGGCUUAAAGGGUGCGUAGGCUGCGCGGAAAGUUGGGUGUGAAAGCCCUCAGCUCAACUGGGGAAUUGCAUUCAAAACUACCGUGCUCGAGGGAGACAGAGGUAAGCGGAACUCAAGGUGGAGCGGUGAAAUGCGUUGAUAUCUUGAGGAACACCGGUGGCGAAAGCGGCUUACUGGGUCUCUUCUGACGCUGAGGCACGAAAGCUAAGGUAGCAAACGGGAUUAGAUACCCCGGUAGUCUUAGCUGUAAACGAUGAGCACUUGUUUGAAGGGUCCUCCAUAGCCUUUCAGACGUAGCGAAAGUGUUAAGUGCUCCGNCUGGGGAGUAUGGUCGCAAGGCUGAAACUCAAAGAAAUUGACGGGGGCUCACACAAGCGGUGGAGGAUG